UGAUUAGAUCAGUCUGUGAUGCUGUGUUUUAGCAUUCUACAAUUCCGUGCCUCUGAAGCCAGCGGGACUGGUGUCCCCCAGCCCCGCAACAGCUGUCAGUAGGCCCUGCGCACCAGGAGCCUCUGUCAUCGUCUAUUGCUUGAGCUGACCGGAAAAGGCGUUUGGUCUCGGCCUUGGGAAAAGGGAGGAGAUCUCCAAGAAGUCAAAGUCACAGGUGUCGUGGUACUCCAGGUCGAAGGUGUGGAAGGUGAGCAGCACAGAGGAGCCCUCAGCCACCACAAUCAGCCAGCUGCACUCCGUGUUGUAGGGGUAGAGCCUGGGGAAGUUGGGGCUGGAGAAGUUCCCAGAAGGAGCAGAGAGCACACCCCCACAUUUGACACCUGGGGCAAGAGGUUGCUGGGGCAUGAACUCAUUUUUUUGAAAACUGAUAUAGAGAAAAAGAAAGAAUUAAGCUUCCACUUUGCCUUUCCUGUUAUGGAGUGUAUUUCAGGAUAACCAAACAGCUGAUGAAGGAAGAUUGUUAUUUAUAGAAGGCUGCAGAAAGAAUGACAACAUUAGAAAAACAUAAUUUUGCAAAUUUAAUGAAAUUAUCAUCAUCGAUGUCUGUUCUAAUCACCAAGUAAAAAGGUAGGACAGAAGAAACAAGAAAGGCAGAAUGUUGACAAUCGUUGAAGAUGGUUGCUGGAGACACAGGGAUUCAUGACACUAUUUUCUCUGCUUUGUGCGUGUUUGAAAUUUUUCAUAAUUAAAAGUUAAAAAAAAAAUAACCAGCAAGUCUUUG